rnacentral:tRNA from 1 species
UAUGGCAGAUUAGUGCAAUGGAUUUAAAAUCCUACCAUAAAGAUUACCCUCUUUUAUUAAAA